UCUCAUCUCUAUUAGUCGUUGCGCAGUCCUGUUCACUACAGCAGGUUGGACAGGAAAAAUAGAUAAGUGAAAGGGAUAAGACAAAAUAAAUUCCAUUGCUCAUAGGUGCAAUAUCUAAGCCUACGAAAGAUUGACAGAACUGUUUUACCUAGUAAUGAACUAGUGACUAUCUGCAGACCAUAUCCGACCCUCUGUUCUAGUUGUAACCAGCCGAAUGAAUUUGGACUUCAUCAAGUGGUAAACCGAUUUACAUGAUUGCAUUUACCUUGCAGUUUUAAGGAACUAUUUCAAGGAACUUUAGAUUCUUACCACUUGCUACAAGGGCUGAAAAGUUGCCCUGGGAAAAUGGAGGAUGAAGAUGGUUAUACAAACAUAGACCCAAGAAGACGGGAAACAUACACAAAACCCCAUCCAGACGCUAAGAAAAAAGAUGCUUUAUUCAAUCUUCUCUGGUGGAAAAUUGGUUUCAGUAUUUCGCUGACAAUAAUUGUCAUUCUAACUGUGGUCUUGAUUGUUAUCGGUGUUCUAGCUCCGGAGGGCUCUUCUGGGACAGCAUUCUUGCCGUAUCCAGUAAUUUUCCCCACAAAUUUCCAUGACUCAGAAAAUAACAAUAUGAUGGACCAUCUCAGUAAACUCCCCCGAAAAAACUCAUGCACAUCAAAUGGCUCCUCGUGUUUGUAUCAUGAAGGAAGCAGAAAUCCAGUUUAUACAUAGAAAAGUACCAAAACACCUUUCUUCCAGCUCUGCUUCAAAGAGCAAAUGGAUCAACAAAACUACAGGAAAUUUUGUCACAAACCAAAUGACCAGUGAUAACAAAAUAACAGGAACUGCUCUUCUCUAGUGUUCACUCACAGAAUUCAGACACAGAAGAACAUUUCUGCAAAGCAGAUAUGGGGAAAUAUGAGCACCAGAGUCACAAGUUAACCAUGUGAACAAGUUGAUUGUUAAAAACUGGUGCAUUAUGAUGUGAGAGCAUGCUUACAAGCCAUGGUUUGUUAGUUUUCAGCUACAAACAACACUCUGAAGCCAUGUUUUAUUGUUGGCUUACACAUUCUAGUUGUUUAAAUCAUUGCAUGUUGUAAUAUCCAACUCAGAACUAAGGUUUAUCCCCGGAUUUUCUCUCUAAAUGCCAUUUAAAGAGGAAUUGACAAAUCUGGAAGUUUGAGAUAUUAUUUUCAGUUUAAUCAGCAAACACAAUGGUGUGUCCUGAUACGUGAAUGCAUCAAUAAAUGUGAAUGGGCUUCAGUAUUACAGUCUGCAGUUUCAGACCAAUCUGACUGGAUUUAAAGAUUCUCAAACUAAUUUAUGACUCCUCUUUCUAGUGUUUAGUUGUAAUUUUUUAAUUGUGAUUUGAAUCCAUUGACUUGUGUCCUGGAAUAGUAGAAAGCAAGCUCCCCUUAUCUUCUACAUAAAUUCCCUUCAAAUAUUUCAAGAUGGUUAUUAUAUCAUCUCUCAAUCAUCUAUUCUACAAGCUAGUUCUGAAAUAGGAGUAACAAUGGGUUUGCGCAUAGUCAAGUAACCUUUUUGGACUACAACUCCCAGAAUCCUUCAGCUAGCAGAGAUCCAAAAGGUGAAUUCAGACACCAAAGUAUUGUUUUUAAAAGGCUCUGCAUCACAAUGUAAUUAGUUUAUGAAGGCAGCACUUGAGAAAACAACGUCAGUUUAUAGAAAUGGGACUAUUAUGCGCUAGGUUUGCUGCACAAUUGUAGUGACUUAUUUCUGUAUUGAUGUUUCCUUAUUGCAUAGCACUGUAAUUGCAUAUUUUCAUUGAUUGUAAAAACCCAAUAAUGACAUUAAUGUCACUGCUGUUCAAUUAUUGUUUCUGGCGCAAUUGUUUCAUUCCAUUGCAGUUCCAAUAUCCUAGAUGUCAUAUGAUGUGAGUGGGCAUGGUUUUCCUCUUUUCCCCUUCCCUAACCACAAACAGUGUGAAGUCAUUCUGUUUCAGGUGUCCAAACAAAGAGGAUAUCAUGAUGUGCAAAACCAACACUGCUUUUACCCAUUCCCCAGGGUUUUUUUUAAGUGUUUUGCUGUAAUUGUGCAAAUGUGCUGCCAAAACAGGCCAUACACAAUUGCAUAGUGGCUUUCAUUUGAAAGUGGUUUUGAAACUGUGCAAUUAUAGCAUAGAUACAUGUACAACACAAAGUUUACAUGGGGUUAAGCAAAGCAGUGUGGAAGACUGGUUACAGGAAUCAUCAUCAUCAUCGAUGAUCCCUUAUGGCCAAGUAUAAAUGUCUUCCAGAAUAGAGUCUUUGCGGUGGGUCCGUAAGUGAUUGUAGAGAGCUAUUCUGGAUCUGCAUGAUGUAUCACAAUGAAGAUAUAGAUUUCCAAAUAGAAGGCAGUCACAACAAGUAUUUGCUUGACAUGGUUUCCUCUUGGCAUGUUUCUCCCAUUUGUGCCUCUUCAAAAUCUACAGCACUGUUGGUCACAGCUGGCGUCCAGUCAGAGCACUCAAGGGUCAGGGCUUCCCAGUUCUCAGUGUUUAUUCCACAUUU